AACGAACGCUGGCGGCAGGCCUAACACAUGCAAGUCGAGCGCGCCUUCGGGUGAGCGGCGGACGGGUUAGUAACGCGUGGGAACGUGCCCUUCUCUACGGAAUAGCCUCUGGAAACGGAGAGUAAUACCGUAUACGCCCUUUGGGGGAAAGAUUUAUCGGAGAAGGAUCGGCCCGCGUUAGAUUAGGUAGUUGGUGGGGUAACGGCCUACCAAGCCUACGAUCUAUAGCUGGUUUUAGAGGAUGAUCAGCAACACUGGGACUGAGACACGGCCCAGACUCCUACGGGAGGCAGCAGUGGGGAAUCUUAGACAAUGGGGGCAACCCUGAUCUAGCCAUGCCGCGUGAGUGAUGAAGGCCUUAGGGUCGUAAAGCUCUUUCGCCUGUGAUGAUAAUGACAGUAGCAGGUAAAGAAACCCCGGCUAACUCCGUGCCAGCAGA
rnacentral:rRNA from 1 species